GCGCCCAGUACCGACUAGCGCGCGCCAGCACUGGCCGCUCGCGAAGGUGCACGGCGGACCCUCACCCCGAGACUGCCGGCCCUAGACAGGUGCAGCCCGUCGGCCGCGCGGGGCUACGGCCCCGGGUGCCGCCGAGGGGCCCCGCCUGCGCAGAUGGCGGGAGAUCCAAGCCCGCACGCCUCACGCGCCGGGGUAGGUGGAGCGGGCAGGUGGAGCGCAGGCCGGGAGGCCGAAGGAGGAAACUUUGGGAAGAGUUUAGACCGUCGGAGCGUGACCGCUUGCGCCCCAGCGUGCCACCUCCGGGCCGUCUGCCUUCUAGAAGUACCUGCAGCAAGCCGGUGAUGUGGCCGCUCGGACCUGGGCCCGCCCCAGCUAUAACUUCACUCCCUCCACCCCCAACACUACCACCACUUUUCCGGAAAGGAGCCAAAUUCCAGAUGCCGACUUGGGGAACAUAGUAGCAGAUUGGUGGCAAGCGACAGGAAAAAGGACAGGGGCCCCAAUUGGAUGAAAAGCAAGCCUUGGGCCCAGAUCUCUCUGCUGAGACAGCUGCCGUCGACCCGAGUUCCUGCCGGUCUCUGUCACCUCCCUUUGGACUGAGUUCCAUAUUUUUAACAACAAAAAAAGCAGACAACAUAACAGUAUGAGCUAAAAGGCUACGAUGUAAGAUUCAAGAAUCCUGAAAAGGCCAAGAAGACUGAUACAACUGCACAACUUAACAACUUGAAAUCAUUCAUACUUCAAGAGUAAAACUGGCAUUUUACAGGUAUAAAGACGAAGAAAACAUAGAGGUAACAAAUCACCACAUAACAAAAGCACAUGGAGCUAAAGGAACAGUAGCACUCAGGAAUACCCAAGGAAACUAGGAAUCAAAACGACCAGAACAGAGGCUCUACUAGACUAGGUAGCUGGAGAAAACUAGUUCCUUAUCAAAUCAAAGAACAAAUGGAAAUUGGUUCCAAAACCCUUCUCCUUCCUCUAUCAUCAAUAAUAAUAUACUGUGUGGAAGAUUAUUAUUGUACUUAUCAGACUGUAUUGCCUAUGUUAUUUGCUUACAUGUCUGUCUUGGAAAGGAAUGGAAAAGGAAUGGAAAACAUGUUAAAUUAGUCAACAUGAACUGGAAUUAUUACCAGUUCCAGGAAAGCAGUUUUGGUAAAACUGACUUUUCUAUUUGAAGUCAUUUUAAAAUUAUUGGGGCGACAUUGGUUAAUAAAAUUAAAUAGGUUGCAGGUGUACAAUUCAAUAAUGUCAUAUGUAUAUUGUAUUGUGUGUUCAAGAAGUCAUUUUUUUAAGGGUGACAAAGGCCAAGGGCACUGAAAAUACAGCAAUUUUCUAAAAAGGAACAGACAUGAAAAAUUAAACUCACUGCUUUAUUUUUAACAUGUGCUUCCAAGCAGCUCUUUUGACAUUUGCCUCCUUUAUUUAACAAAUCCAGGUUUCAAAAUAAUUAUUUUGUUUGUAGAUCUGAGGUAAAGCUUUAUAUAAUAUCUUUCAAGUCAUAUCACACAUUUGUUAUUCUUACAACAUACGCAUCAAAGGAAAAAAAACAUGGAAGGUAUGCAACUCACAAAUCUUUGCACUAUGCAAACUUCUUUUUCAGUUACAAUAGACUAAUUCACACAUGAUGGGAAAAUAUACUGAGAGGUUCUCUGACUUUGGAGAUUACUGGCCAGCUCAGAGAUUUAUAUUCUGUAUUUUGUGCAGAAUCCAGGAAAUUGUAGCCUAGGCAAUUCUAAUGCAAGCACCCUAAAACACCAAACCUGACAGACUGGGCAUUCUGUAAAAAAAAAAUUUAGGUAUUUAAAGAGAACAGAAAAUUAUUUCUGCUAAAAACAAUUAACAUUUUAAAUGGUAUUAAUCAAGUAGGUACCUUUUAAAGGAAAAAAGAAUGA